UAUAGUAGUGUUUAAUCUGUCAUGCACAAAAUCAGAACACAUUGUUUGGACAAAUGAACUGUCUUGCUGUACAUGGUGUAAUGGAAUUUUUGUAACAUUGCAAUUGCUUAGCUUGCUCAAUGGCAAACAAAUAGGUUUUCAGAUAACAAUACAGUUUGCAACGUUAGGUUUAAAUAAAGACCUGUCCCGAGUCAAUAGGACGAGCGGAACAUGAGCUAUAAGAAAUAAUAACUUUAUGUGUAAUAGGUAUAAAAAGUGUAUUUGUGCUUUUGACUGUAGCCGUGAGAUAACAGGAUGAGUUAGACGUGGCUCUCCGCACGUACAUUCAAACUACCAUCCUGCUAUCUGCUUGCUUAUCUACAGCAAUGAAUAGGUUUUCUCAUAUGCUAGAACCUGAAUCAACAUUACCUGCUCCUCAUGUGAUUAACUAGAUGUUUUUGAGGUAUGUUAAUACCUGAAUCAACAUUACAUAACCCUCAUGUGAUUAAUUUGAUUAUGUGUGACUAAAGCCACGUAGACAUUAAUUGAACUGCCUAUAUUAAGAAACACCAAACCCAGGUUUGGUGAGCUUCUUAGCGAUUGCUUGCUGAGUCUGUAUACUCUGUUGUAAGCUCCAAUCAGCUGAUUAAAUAAAACCAAACUCUGUUCCAACCUGUCUCUGUCUCAGCUCGUCUCAGUAAAAGACUCGGAGGUCAACCGAGAGUAAGGGUCUCGAGUUUUCCACCACAAAUGGCGACGAGGAUGGGAUACUAAACUCCGCCCGCUGGGUGCCCCGGAGAACCGAAGUCAAUCACCGGGUACGAGACGCCUUACCCGACCCAGCUGAAGGACCAGGCCAUCGCAUCUGCCCCGGAGACUGGAUCGUGAUCAAGGACCCCCGAAGAAAGCAUUGACACCAACAACGGUGGAUCGGACUUUUCCAGACAAUCCAGCUCUGUUUUGGUUUUCCCAGCACAUCUCAUUAUGGGGAAGCAUUUCAUUCAAUUUGGCAAGUUUUGGUAAACCUGGUAGUUGCGCUAUUUUAUCCUUUUGGGAAUGAAUGGGGAAACUGAAUCGGACAAUACCCGCCAAAGACGCAGUGUGCACUCCCCAUGGCACAACAUGAACCACUCCACCAAGCAUACUGAACUGAGCGAAUACGAACAUAAUACGUGGUAUAAAUUUACAGAAUGAAUGGUAUGUGGGAGGUAUGAAGCCACAGUUCCACUCCACUCAAUGUCCCCCACUAAUGCCCUUUCCCCAGACAGGUUGUGGGAAAGGCAAAACCAUUUGUGACGGGAGCAACCUGAUUGCAAACGUUGGUAAAAAUAAACACUGAAGAUAUUUCGCCAAUACGCCAAAGGUGUGGUGAGUUUAGACUAUUAACUAAAAUAUUGAAUACAACCUUGUCAUGAAUUGGAUACUUGCCAACAUAACACAGGUGGCCAUCAAAGGAGGGGUCUGAUUGACGACAUUGCUGGGUGGUUCGGAGCUGUGAAUUCAGGCCUCAAUUAAGUGUACAGCAGGUCAAUGAAAACCAUGGCCAGUUUCUGAAAGCAGGUGAUGCUUUUCAGAGAUUGGCCAUGGCUGAACAAAUGACUGGUGAAAGACGGUUGACACAAUAAUUGAAGAGGUAAAUUUGACAGCUUGGAGAGAACAGAUGUUACGUGAGAUAGUCAAGACCGGAUACUGAUAUGUACUGAACGAUGUGAUGAAGAUAUUUGUUUUAUUUUAAUAGUGCCACAUACCACCAGUCGGGUCCACCACAGUACCUGAAUAACGGUCAGUAGUCUAGGGGUAGUAAUUGGAACAAGGGUUAUAAGCCCACAAAAUAAACACGGGUUGAUCAGCGUGCCCAAAAAUGCCACCCUGUACUUCAAAGCCACUGAGUGUAUUGAAUUUGGUGAUACUGUUCUGUGUGACCGUGCUAACGGCACUAACCUAUCAAUGCAAUUGAUGGAAGCAACGGUACACCCAAAGCUAGGGUACAAAAGAUGUAC